rnacentral:misc_RNA from 1 species
UCUCCGUUGGUGAACCGGCGGAGGGAUCAUUAUCGAGUUUAUAACUCCCAAACCCUAUGUGAACUUACCACUUGUUGCUUCGGCGCGCGCUUCGGUGCCGCCGAGGACACUUAAACUCUUUGUUUUUAUAAGCAUUUCUGAGUGGCCGAAAGGCAAAAUACAAAUGAAUCAAAACUUUCAACAACGGAUCUCUUGGUUCU